UUAGAGUUGACCUGGCUCAGGACGAACGCUGGCGGCGUGCUUAAUGCAUGCAAGUCGCACGCGGGUGCUUUCGGGCACCUGAGUGGCGCACGGCUGAGGAACACGUGGGUCAUCUACCCUGGCGUGGGGGACAACGCACCGAAAGGGGCGCUAAUCCCGCAUACGCUCUUCGGAGGAAAGCUUCGGCGCGCUAGGAUGAGCCUGCGGCCCAUCAGGUAGUUGGUGUGGUAAUGGCGCACCAAGCCGAUGACGGGUCCCUGGUCUGAGAGGACGACCAGGCAGACUGGGACUGAGACACGGCCCAGACUCCUACGGGAGGCAGCAGCAAGGAAUUUUCCGCAAUGGGCGCAAGCCUGACGGAGCAACGCCGCGUGCCGGAAGACGGCCUUCGGGUUGUAAACGGCUUUUGUGAGGGAUGAUGAUGACAGUACCUCACGAAUAAGCCCCGGCUAACUCCGUGCCAGCAGCCGCGGUAAUACGGAGGGGGCAAGCGUUGUCCGGACUUACUGGGCGUAAAGCGUGCGUAGGCGGCAGCGUGCGUCGCCACUGAAAGCGCCUGGCUCAACCAGGCGAGGCGUGGCGAUACGACGCAGCUCGAGACAGAGAGAGGUUGAUGGAAUUCCGGAUGUAGUGGUGAAAUGCGUAGAGCUCCGGAGGAACGUCAGUGGAGAAAUCGGUCAACUGGCUCUGUUCUGACGCUGAGGCACGAAAGCGUGGGGAGCGAACCGGAUUAGAUACCCGGGUAGUCCACGCGGUAAACGAUGUCGGCUCGGUGUGCGGGAGUGUACAAGCACUGCUGCGUGCCCAAGCAUACGCGGUAAGCCGACCGCCUGGGGACUACGAGCGCAAGCUUA
rnacentral:rRNA from 1 species